AGGAUAGUAGUUAAUAUAUAACAUUUAAGUUGCAUUUAAAAAUAAUUGAUUUUCAAUUUAUCUUU
rnacentral:tRNA from 1 species